rnacentral:rRNA from 1 species
UACAGAGGUCCCGAGCGUUGUUCGGAUUCAUUGGGCGUAAAGGGUGCGUAGGCGGCGGGGAAAGUCUGAUGUGAAAUCCUGGGGCUCAACCCUGGAACUGCAUUGGAUACUUCCUUGCUAGAGUACUGGAGAGGAAACUGGAAUUUACGGUGUAGCAGUGAAAUGCGUAGAGAUCGUAAGGAAGACCAGUGGCGAAGGCGAGUUUCUGGACAGUUACUGACGCUGAGGAGCGAAAGCAUGGGGAGCGAACAGG